AUUGAACGCUGGCGGCGUGCUUAACACAUGCAAGUCGAACGGUAAGGCCCUUCGGGGUACACGAGUGGCGAACGGGUGAGUAACACGUGGGUGAUCUGCCCUGCACUUCGGGAUAAGCCUGGGAAACUGGGUCUAAUACCGGAUAGGACCACUGCCUGCAUGGGUGGUGGUGGAAAGCUUUUGCGGUGUGGGAUGGGCCCGCGGCCUAUCAGCUUGUUGGUGGGGUGAUGGCCUACCAAGGCGACGACGGGUAGCCGGCCUGAGAGGGUGACCGGCCACACUGGGACUGAGAUACGGCCCAGACUCCUACGGGAGGCAGCAGUGGGGAAUAUUGCACAAUGGGCGCAAGCCUGAUGCAGCGACGCCGCGUGAGGGUUGACGGCCUUCGGGUUGUAAACCUCUUUCAGCACCGACGAAGCGCAAGUGACGGUAGGUGCAGAAGAAGGACCGGCCAACUACGUGCCAGCCGCCACGGUAA
rnacentral:rRNA from 1 species